AGUAAUGAAGUAAUAUAUAUUACGUUUAAUUUCGACCUAAAAAUAAGAAUUAUAAUAUUCCAUACUU
rnacentral:tRNA from 1 species